GACGAACGCUGGCGGCGUGCCUAAUACAUGCAAGUCGAACGAACAGCGACUUGAACUUGUUCAAGUCAAUGUUAGUGGCGCACGGGUGAGUAACACGUGGAGAACCUACCCUUAAGCGGGGGAUAACCAUUGGAAACGAUGACUAAUACCGCAUAGAAUCACAGAUCACAUGAUCAAUGAAGGAAAGACGGCUUCGGCUGUCACUUAAGGAUGGCUCCGCGGUGCAUUAGCUAGAUGGUGGGGUAAAGGCCUACCAUGGCAAUGAUGCAUAGCCGACCUGAGAGGGUGAUCGGCCACAUUGGGACUGAGAAACGGCCCAAACUCCUACGGGAGGCAGCAGUAGGGAAUCUUCCGCAAUGGGCGCAAGUCUGACGGAGCAACGCCGCGUGUGUGAAGAAGGUCUUCGGAUCGUAAAACACUGUUUUUAGGGAAGAACGACCGGGUAAGUAACUGUUAACGGAGUGACGGUAUCUAACCAGAAAGCCACGGCUAACUACGUG
rnacentral:rRNA from 1 species